UGAGGAACAUGACCUUCGGCGGGGGAUAGUCGGCCCAACGGCCGGGUAAUACCGCGUACGACCACAUGGGGACAUCCCUGAGUGGUGAAAGCAGCAAUGCGCCGAUGGGGUGCCUCGCGGCCUAUCAGCUAGCUGGUGAGGUAACGGCUCACCAAGGCGACAACGGGUAGCUGGUCUGAGAGGAUGGCCAGCCACAUUGGGACUGAGACACGGCCCAGACCUNUACGGGAGG
rnacentral:rRNA from 1 species